rnacentral:ribozyme from 1 species
GGACGUGACGGCGGCUCAAAAAAGUGCAUUAAGCCGCAAGAGUUUCCCCGUUUUUGGGGGAAGGUUUCA